UGACAACUUACGGCCUUUUCAGAGUCAAGUGUAGGAAGAAGAGCUGCCAUUGGGAGAACCGGGUUUGUUUCAGCUUACAAAUUUUAGCUGAAAUGUCGGCAAGGAAGGCCAAUGCCUUCACACCUGGUAGGCACCGCUCAAGUGAUUCAAAAGUACAAGUUGCCAGCUGAUGACCUCUCAAAACUUAUAAGGCUGAUGUUGGAAUGCUUUUCUUAGGACUGGCUUCCCACCAUCUUCCUCCACUUCAAUCUCACAGCUGCCCAUCCUUUAGAAGACUGUUAGCCUUAGAAGAAAGAGCAUCAAGCCGGGAUUUAGAACAGCAGGUUCUUUGAGACACCGUGCAUAGGAUGGCCUUGGGGCGGAGCCUCAACAUGUAUUAUUUCUAAGUCAAAACAUGUUUUCCAAAAGCCAGCAAAACUCUGAAGACACAGCUGCGGGUCCGAUCUCUCAAUAAGUGUCGUGGUGGAGGUGUGCCGAUGGGCUCCUCGUCGGGAAACGGCUGUAUAGGACUUGAGCCCCAUUUCAAGAACUUACUAUUCCUUAGUGAUCGCGCUGACUGUGCUCACCCGAUGAGGGGAGUGGCUGGGAAAGUUACGCAAAGGAAAAAGCUUUCCUGACAGUUCCUGAACACUAAAGUUGCAAUUUUCCUUCCAAAAUAAACGCAUGAAGAAAUGAAUUAUCUGAUAAAAGGCAGGAAAAGAGAAGCUCCUCUCUAACCGUGUGUAACUGUGAAUUCUGUCACAGCUUUCCUCUCUGCCUGGGCUUUCGAGUGGAUAACAGCAAUCUUACUUUUGAACAGGCUGCAUUGAAACAGAAGCACCAGAUCUCAAAAGGAACAGGGCACACCCGACAGCAUUUGGAAGGAAGUGAACCAACAGCCGACUGAUGACAUUCUCAUAAAUCAAAAUUCUUCCUCAUAAGAAUCACAUGUGAGGAGAGAAAGCACGUUAAGAAAGCUCUCUUCACAGUAAUUCAUUUAACAUUUGAUCAAACAGUAAGGACCUACCAACUACCAGGCUCUUCCAGGAGGCAGGACUGCAACAGAGAACAAAGUCUCUACCCCUGGGAAUCUCACUUUUGGUGAAGGAAAUAAGCAAUAAACAAUAAAUAUAUGAAAGACGCAUGUAACUUUCUAAAUGACUUUGCAUUUGCUCAGCCUUUAGCAUUUUUUAUGGUAACUGCCACUGAAAAAAGAGAAAAACGAUUAAAUAAAAGUUACAUAUGCAA